rnacentral:rRNA from 1 species
UACGUAGGAGGCAAGCGUUGUCCGGAAUUACUGGGCGUAAAGCGCGUGUAGGUGGUGGGACAAGUCUGCUGUGAAAGCGCCUGGCUUAACCGGGCGAGGUCGGCGGAAACUGUCCGACUUGAGUACUGAUGAGGCAGGCGGAAUUGACGGUGUAGCGGUGAAAUGCUUAGAGAUCAGGAAGAACAUCGGUGGCGAAGGCGCUCUGCUGGACCAUAACUGACACUCAGGGACGAAAGCUAGGGGAGCGAAUGGG